AAAGUGAAAGGUAAACAGAAAUGAAUUCAAGUUAAUUAUAAACAUGAUCUUCAGUACAAAGACCUGGAUUUAAUUGAACUUAUUAUAAUUAAUCUGGUGAUCAUAAAAUGAUCCUCAAAAAGGCAACCAAACCAUUGAAUGUUAAUCACUAACAAGUAAGUUGUAAGUCAAAUAAUAUUUUUUUCGAUUCUAGUAAAUAGUUCAAAUUCAAUAAUCUGUAAUAUUUAGACAAUCAAAGGCUUAAUGCUUUGGUUAUUCAAUUUGAUAAUCCUAGGUUAACUGGUUAACCAAUGUUAUCGCCUGUCAAAUGAUUAAGGUAAUCAUUUUUAAUCUUGUUUGUGAUUAAUUUUGGUUACCUUGGUAGCUUGUUGACAUGGCAACCUGCCAUGUUUGAUGAGCAAUUAUGUCAAUCAGUGUAAAGUAUGAUUUAUGGUUCUUUACUUUUGUGAUAAAAAUUAUGCAAAUAAUUGCAAUUUUAUUAAUUUGUUAAUGAUUCUUUUAAAAAUGUUGUGACACAAAAAAAGCUUUCUCGCCAUUUUUAGGCCUUAAGUAGAUUCUGCUGUUCACUUUAUGGGAAGUGAACGAUGGUGUGAAUGAGUUUGACGGUGAUGUUGAUUGGAAAGAUGGUGAUGAUGUAUACAAUGACAGUGACGAUGAGGAUGAAGAUGACGAGGGAGUUGAUUUAGCUGAAUCAUUUGGUUUAACAUGUUUUUGUCUAUGGUCGCUCAAUGGUUCCUUGAAUGCAGCAUCAAACUCUUCUUCCUCAUUGGAUCGAUUCUUUCUCGGUUUAUCGUCAUAACUCUGACUCUCUUCUUUACCACCUUUUGCACUAUAACCGUAAUCCAUUGAACCAGAGUCAUCAUCAUUCUCGUCAUAACUUUCAUCUGGCUUGUAUUCAGCUUUGUACUCUGUUGACUUUCUCUUCUUUACCUCUUCUGGAGGAUUAUCUAUCAUUAUGUUUCUCAUCGCCACCCUACCCUCGGUUUUCAGCAGCGUAAUCAUCGUAUCCUUGGCUAGGCUUAUAAUAUUGAACUGGUUCCCCGUCAUUUUAUGGAUUGGAUGAUUUUGAUGAUUUAGAUGUUAAAUACUCGUCGCUUCCUCGAUAAUUAUAGCUUGGCUCAGAUGAUUGUUUCUUGUCAUUUUUAUCUGAUUUGUCAUAUGAACUCUUUGAAUAACCAGAAUCAUCUGACUGAUAUGAAGGUGUAUCUGAAUCACUUUUUGUAAAGCCCUCAGAAGCUUCUGGUAGUCCAUCUGAAUAGUCAUCAUAGCUUUCAGAUGCUGGGUUUUGAUGACGAAGAAGAGGAAAAAGGUUACGAGGAUGACGAUGACCGACCAGAUUUAUGGUUUAACGAUGAAGAUUGAGAUGACCCAUAGCAAGUUGUUGUUGACUUCUAUUUUGGUGCUGCUUCACGAUAGUUGUAAUCUAAUUGUUUAAAAAAUAGCAACAAGUUGAUUAAAAUCAAGAUUGAUCCUGUUGGUCUAUCAAGUCAAUAUUUUCGUUAAUGGAUUCACUUUAUUAAUAAAAGUUUUGUUGACUCGAGUUAUUACCGUUAAUGAACUAAAAUGAUUUAACUUAUCAACAUCUGAUGAAUAAUUUUUGCCAUCAUAGUUCAUAAUCAACUGUUGGAGCCAACCUAAUGAGUUAAACCUUGAUUUCAAGAUUAUUGUUUACCCAAAAAUAAAGCAAUAAAUUAAAAUCCUCAAAGUAAUACUAAA